GGCUAAGGGGUGCUGCCGCCGUUGCGGAUGCUGAGACCAUACCCUACAGACCUGAUCCGGAUAAUGCCGGCGUAGGCGAAAACGACUA
rnacentral:ncRNA from 1 species